GAUGAACGCUGGCGGUAUGCUUUACACAUGCAAGUCAUACGGGAGUUAGUUUCGGCUAACUCCAGUGGCGGACGGGUGAGUAACACGUGAGAAUUCGCCUUUAGGAGGGGGAUAACAGGGGGAAACACCUGCUAAAACCCCAUAUGCCUUCGGGUCAAAAGAGUAAUCUGCCUAAAGAGAAGCUCGCGGCUGAUUAGCUAGUUGGUAGGGUAAAGGCCUACCAAGGCGACGAUCAGUAGCUGGUCUGAGAGGAUGAUCAGCCACACUGGAACUGAGACACGGUCCAGACUCCUACGGGAGGCAGCAGUGAGGAAUUUUCUGCAAUGGGCGAAAGCCUGACAGAGCAAUACCGCGUGAGGGAAGAAGGCUUACUGAGUUGUAAACCUCUGUUACCUAGGGAGGAAGAUCUGACGUUACCUAGGAGACGAAGCAUCGGCUAACUCCGUGCCAGCAGCCGCGGUAACAC
rnacentral:rRNA from 1 species